rnacentral:rRNA from 1 species
GUGGGGAAUCUUGCGCAAUGGGCGAAAGCCUGACGCAGCCAUGCCGCGUGAAUGAUGAAGGUCUUAGGAUUGUAAAAUUCUUUCACCGGGGACGAUAAUGACGGUACCCGGAGAAGAAGCCCCGGCUAACUUCGUGCCAGCAGCCGCGGUAAUACGAAGGGGGCUAGCGUUGCUCGGAAUUACUGGGCGUAAAGGGCGCGUAGGCGGACAGUUUAGUCAGAGGUGAAAGCCCAGGGCUCAACCUUGGAAUUGCCUUUGAUACUGGCUGUCUUGAGUACGGGAGAGGUGAGUGGAACUCCGAGUGUAGAGGUGAAAUUCGUAGAUAUUCGGAAGAACACCAGUGGCGAAGGCGACUCACUGGCCCGUUACUGACGCUGAGGCGCGAAAGCGUGGGGAGCAAACAGGAUUAGAAACCAGUGUAGUCC